rnacentral:rRNA from 1 species
GAUGAACGCUGGCGGCGUGCCUAAUACAUGCAAGUCGAGCGAACGGACGAGAAGCUUGCUUCUCUGAUGUUAGCGGCGGACGGGUGAGUAACACGUGGAUAACCUACCUAUAAGACUGGGAUAACUUCGGGAAACCGGAGCUAAUACCGGAUAAUAUUUUGAACCGCAUGGUUCAAAAGUGAAAGACGGUCUUGCUGUCACUUAUAGAUGGAUCCGCGCUGCAUUAGCUAGUUGGUAAGGUAACGGCUUACCAAGGCAACGAUGCAUAGCCGACCUGAGAGGGGGCUCGGCCACACGGGAACUGAGACACGGUCCAGACUCCUACGGGAGGCAGCAGGAGGGAAUCUUCCGCAAUGGGGGAAAGCCUGACGGAGCAACGCCGCGGGAGUGAUGAAGGUCUUCGGAUCGUAAAACUCUGUUAUUAGGGAAAAACAAAUGGGUAAGUAACUGGGCACAUCUGGCGGGAACCAAAACAGAAAGCCCGGGUAAACUCCGU